CUCAUCCUACAGUCAUCUAGAGAGAGAUAACCACUUCUACUGAUACAAUAUUACCAGAAAAACUAACAAGAGGAGAAUCAAGUCUCCUCAACUGAUGAAAGCCAAAUCCAUUCUUACAAGGCACCAUAAAAUAAAAUAUCUGUAGAGCUUCCAUUAUCAAUUAAAAUAUGGCAUACAUCAUAGUUCAAAAAAUUCAAAGUCACUAUAACUGGAUCAUCAUAAGGAUAUUUUAUACCCCU
rnacentral:lncRNA from 1 species